rnacentral:tRNA from 5 species
GCUCGCGUAGCUCAGUGGUAGAGCACUCCCUUGGUAAGGGAGAGGUCAUGAGUUCAAGUCUCAUCGUGAGCUCCA